AUGUCAGAUGCUAUGAGUGCAAAAUUUGACAAGUACUGGUCUGAUAUCCAAGGCCUCAUGGGUAUUGCUACACUCCUUGAUCCACGGUUUAAGAUUGAUAUGCUGCAUGUCUGCUUUGAAAUGCUCCUUGGUGACGAGUCCAUUAUUGAUUGUGAGAGUAAAGUUCAUGAGAUCCGUGAGUUAGUGUCUAGCCUGAUGCUUGAAUAUAAAAUGGAGAGUGAGCAAGAGAAUACAGAAGCCCAGUCUGUGUCCAUUUCUGCAAUGGAAGCUAACGAGGUGAUGUCCAUCUUCAGUGCACGAGUAGCUAGAAAGAGGCAUGCAACCAGUUUAUCCAGAACAGAGUUAGACCGCUACUUGGAUGAUGAGUAUGUGCCAGCUAAUCAAGAGAAUUUUGAUGUGUUGGAUGGUGGAAUGUUGCUGGUUCACGCUACCCAACUUUGA
rnacentral:rRNA from 1 species